rnacentral:rRNA from 1 species
AAAACUUUCAACAACGGAUCUCUUGGUUCUGGCAUCGAUGAAGAACGCAGCGAAAUGCGAUAAGUAAUGUGAAUUGCAGAAUUCAGUGAAUCAUCGAAUUUUUGAACGCACAUUGCGCCCCUUGGUAUUCCGGGGGGCAUGCCUGUUCGAGCGUCAUU